CCUACGGGGAGCAGCAGUGGGGAAUAUUGGACAAUGGGCGAAAGCCUGAUCCAGCCAUGCCGCGUGUGUGAAGAAGGCCUUCGGGUUGUAAAGCACUUUCAGUGGGGAAGAAAGCCUUGGGGCUAAUACCCUCGAGGAAGGACAUCACCCACAGAAGAAGCACCGGCUAACUCCGUGCCAGCAGCCGCGGUAAUACGGAGGGUGCGAGCGUUAAUCGGAAUUACUGGGCGUAAAGCGCGCGUAGGCGGUCUGAUAAGCCGGUUGUGAAAGCCCCGGGCUCAACCUGGGAACGGCAGCCGGAACUGUCAGGCUAGAGUGCAGGAGAGGAAGGUAGAAUUCCCGGUGUAGCGGUGAAAUGCGUAGAGAUCGGGAGGAAUACCAGUGGCGAAGGCGGCCUUCUGGACUGACACUGACGCUGAGGUGCGAAAGCGUGGGUAGCAAACAGGAUUAGAUACCCUUGUAGUC
rnacentral:rRNA from 1 species